rnacentral:rRNA from 1 species
AUUGAACGCUGGCGGCAGGCCUAACACAUGCAAGUCGAGCGAGCGGCGGACGGGUGAGUAAUGUCUGGGAAACUGCCUGAUGGAGGGGGAUAACUACUGGAAACGGUAGCUAAUACCGCAUACCAUCAGAUGUGCCCAGAUGGGAGUAGAUGGUAGGUGGGGUAACGGCUCACCUAGGCGCCGAUCCCUAGCUGGUCUGAGAGGAUGACAAGCCACACGUGAACGGAGACACGGUCCAGACGCCGACGGGAGGCAGCAGUGGGGAAUAUUGCACCAUGGGCGGAAGCCUGCUGCAGCCAUGCCGCGUGUGUGAAGAAGGCCGUCGGGUUGUAAAGCACUUUCAGCGGGGAGGCGUUACCCGCAGAAGAAGCACCGGCUAACUCCGUGCCAGCAGCCGCGGUAAUUC